UACGUAGGGUACAAGCGUUAAUCGGAAUUACUGGGCGUAAAGCGUGCGUAGACGGUUAUGUAAGUCGGGUGUGAAAGCCCCGGGCUCAACCUGGGAAUGCCAUUCGAGACUGCAUAGCUAGGGUGCGGAAGAGGGAAGCGGAAUUUCCGGUGUAGCGGUGAAAUGCGUAGAUAUCGGAAGGAACACCAGUGGCGAAAGCGGCUUCCUGGUCCAGCACCGACGUUCAGGCACGAAAGCGUGGGGAGCAAACAGG
rnacentral:rRNA from 1 species